CAGCCGCGGUCUCCCGCGAGGCCGCUCCUCGGCGUGGGGAGGGGCGAGGGUUCCGAACCGGCGGAGGCAUCUCCCGCGCCGGUGCCGCGCCGGUUCCGACGGAGUUCAGUGAGAGGCUUGUUUUGGGCGUGGAGCCGUGUCGCAGUCCGCGUAGGUUGUGCGUAGCGUGCGUUUCCCACGCGCAGACCCACGCAGGUGGAAGUGUGUGUUCCGCGGGCCGGGCCUCCUUGUUGGCGUUUGGGGCGCAUGAAGCCGCAGCGGGGACCCGCGACUUGGUCCCCCGGGCCCGAGCACCCUCCGGCGCGCCUCCCGGCUCGCCUGUCCGUCCCGAGCGGCCAGACCCACGGGUACAACAAGUUAUUCCGGGAAAAAUGUGGCUGGCGGUUGCCGAGUCUGAUUCUCCGUGGAGUUUGGCCGGAGUUCGCGUCGCGACUUCUGCCCGGAACCCACGCAGGGCACGGGGCGCUGGGGCGGCCCUGCUGUCCCGGCCUCCCUCUCCGUGUUAUCUUAUUGAUUACCCCGGCUCUCUGGAGGUAUCUCAUUUCUAAGAACUUCAGGGAAAAAUGCAGAAUAAAAGGAACCCGCGUGAUACCCAGAACGAGACCCGAGGACGCAGAGAGAUGGCCUGUGGAGCGGAGCUGGCGAUUCCUCUCCGAGCGGGCUUGGAGGAAGGGCGCUCUCCCUAGCAGCCUGGCCUGGGCGCCUGGGCAGCACCCCGCUCCAUGUCCCUGUGUGGCGCCACGUUGGCGUCCCCGGCUCUGGUCAUUCUGUUCCCACCCCCUUCUGCAGUCCCUGUCACUCCUCAGUGUCCCUGGUUACCUGUCCAGGUAAGCCCUCACCUUUCCCGUUACCUCCCCACCCACGCUUCGGUGUUCAACUCAAAUGCCAACGUCUCCUUCAAGCCUCAGCUGACCCUCCCGGCCAGACUUGAUCCCACCCAGCCAGGGUCUCUGGCAAAUCCCUAACCUCGUGAAACUAGCUUCCGGCCUACGCUGUGUCCACACCCUCUCCACCCAUCAGUGCUGGGAACAAACCACUCAGCCGUGCCGUCCGCUUCACUCCCUGUGCAUGGCUACCGACAAGGAAGCUUAGCAGUGCCAGGCCUCCCACCACAGAUCCCAAUAGCUUCGCUUGUCCUAUCCCCGAGACUAGUUCACAACACCUCUUUCCUCAGAUUUCCUGCCUUCUCGCAAGACAACCCUUUGGAGUGAAACACAAGAGCAAAUUUAAAACCCAUCUGGUAGAGAGUGAAGAUCAGGUAAAAGGUAAGAGACCCAGUCUCCCCCUUCCAGCUCUGGGCAAGGAGACCACCUCGGAAAGACAGGUGUGACAGAAGCCCCCUCCCCACGGCCUUGCCUCCAGGCUGUAUUGGUUUAUGGCCCCACAGGAGAGAAAUCCUUAUAAAAAGUGUGAGAGGAAAGGAGUUUGGGGGAAAGAAGGGGAGUGUGAGGAGAACUUUCUAGAACCUUCUGGCCACGCUGGCAAGGUGCCCCAGGAGAGACUCCAUCUGAGGGCUGGGGCAGUGUUCUGUCCCCGGGAGAAAACGAGGGAGAGAGCUAUGGGGGAGCACCCCAGCCUAUCCACAGGGACCCACGGCCCCCAGCAGGGGUGGGGGGAGAAGACAGCGUCCAGCGGGGGGUGGGGGACCCCAGGGGGAGGCUGCCCCCCAGCGAGAAGGCCCUCCCUCCCUUACACACAGGGAUGGCAUCGCUCUCCUUUGGAGGCAAAAUCAGAAAGGCCCAGCGACUGCAGGCGUCAGUCUGGCGCGGGCAGCCCUCCCGCCCUCUGCGACCUGCCCUUGGAGACGGGAGGCUCCGGCCGAGGACCCACUGGCCCCUCCCCACAUCACUCCUGGAGCUAGAAAAACAGAAAGCAGAAACCUGGAGAAAAGUCCAGUAAGAACCUUAACCAUACAAAACAUCCAAACGCCUUCCUCGCCUGCUGCCACGGUCGGCCACGGCCGGCCACGGCACUUCCUGCGAGGCUUCCUGUCCCAGUCAGGACCACAUUACCAUUUCAUUUUUUAAAAAUAAAAAUAAAAGCUAUUCACCCCUC